rnacentral:rRNA from 1 species
AAACUCUACAAUGCACGAAAGUGUGAUAGGGGAAUUCUCAGUGCUCGCGCAUUGCGCGGGCUUUUGCCAAGGGCAAAAACCUUGGCGAAUAAGUGGUGGGCAAGACUGGUGCCAGCCGCCGCGGUAACACCAGCGCCACGAGUGGCGAUCGCGAUUAUUGGGCCUAAAGCGUCCGUAGCCGGCUUUGUAAAUCUUUUGUGAAAUCGUUGGGCUUAACUCAACGGUGUGCAGAGGACACUGCAAAGCUAGGGACCGGGAGGGGCUAGAGGUAUUCUGUGGGGAACGGUAAAAUGUUAUAAUCCACAGAGGACCGCCGAUGGCGAAGGCAUCUAGCCAGAACGGAUUUGACGGUGAGGGACGAAAGCCAGGGGAGCGAACCGG